UACAGAGGGGGCAAGCGUUGUUCGGAAUUACUGGGCGUAAAGGGCUCGUAGGCGGCCAACUAAGUCAGACGUGAAAUCCCUCGGCUUAACCGGGGAACUGCAUCUGAUACUGGAUGGCUAGAGAUUGGGAGAGGGAUGCGGAAUUCCAGGUGUAGCGGUGAAAUGCGUAGAUAUCUGGAGGAACACCGGUGGCGAAGGCGGCAUCCUGGACCAACACUGACGCUGAGGAGCGAAAGCCAGGGGAGCAAACGGG
rnacentral:rRNA from 1 species